AAACAAUCUCUUGGAGAGAGAAUAAGGAGAAAACUCACAUGGCUACUCUAAGACUCCAAGCUCUCUUUGUGAUCAACCUGCUUCUGCUCUUGCAGUUCGGUACACACCAAUGUAAGUUAUUCAUCACUCAAAACCUACUGCAUUAUAUAUAUGUCAUUAGCUUAGUAAAAACAAGUCGGAAACCGGUUGUUCGAACACUAAUCAGUACAAGAAAAACGGUUAUUUUCAACCAUUUAUUUAUACUACUAUCACUAAAAAACAGGUUAAAACUGACCACCGUUGUUGGUCGGUUCUAAUCGUAAAACUGACCGUUUAUUGACGUAAUUGACCAUUUUCGACCGUCGGUUUUAUCCUGUUGUUUUUUAGGGUAUGUAAUCGCUAAUUCAAAAACUUAAUAUUUAUAUAUAUCGACGAAACUAGGUUUGAUGGCAACUGAUUUGAGGCCGAUAAGCGGAGGAGAUGAAACCUCCACAACCACAAGCAUCUCAAAGCUCAGUUCUGGAGACAACUUCCGUCCUUUCUGUUUUCCUAGGUUCUGCCACACGGAGCAGCUUCGGACACUGGGCUUUGUACAUUGUUGGUGUUGUUUUAAGAAUUUCCAUCUUAGGUGUUUCUCAAAGCGCUUUGUAUGUAAAGAGCUUUGUUAA
rnacentral:lncRNA from 1 species